GUCGAACGGCAGCACGGGAGCAAUCCUGGUGGCGAGUGGCGAACGGGUGAGUAAUACAUCGGAACGUGUCCUGUAGUGGGGGAUAGCCCGGCGAAAGCCGGAUUAAUACCGCAUACGCUCUGCGGAGGAAAGCGGGGGAUCCUUCGGGACCUCGCGCUACAGGGGCGGCCGAUGGCAGAUUAGCUAGUUGGUGGGGUAAAGGCCUACCAAGGCGACGAUCUGUAGCUGGUCUGAGAGGACGACCAGCCACACUGGGACUGAGACACGGCCCAGACUCCUACGGGAGGCAGCAGUGGGGAAUUUUGGACAAUGGGCGCAAGCCUGAUCCAGCAAUGCCGCGUGUGUGAAGAAGGCCUUCGGGUUGUAAAGCACUUUUGUCCGGAAAGAAAACCGUCUGGCUAAUAUCCGGGCGGGAUGACGGUACCGGAAGAAUAAGCACCGGCUAACUACGUGCCAGCAGCCGCGGUAAUACGUAGGGUGCAAGCGUUAAUCGGAAUUACUGGGCGUAAAGCGUGCGCAGGCGGUUCGCUAAGACAGAUGUGAAAUCCCCGGGCUUAACCUGGGAACUGCAUUUGUGACUGGCGGGCUAGAGUAUGGCAGAGGGGGGUAGAAUUCCACGUGUAGCAGUGAAAUGCGUAGAGAUGUGGAGGAAUACCGAUGGCGAAGGCAGCCCCCUGGGCCAAUACUGACGCUCAUGCACGAA
rnacentral:rRNA from 1 species